AAAACGACUCUCGGCAACGGAUAUCUCGGCUCUCGCAUCGAUGAAGAACGUAGCGAAAUGCGAUACUUGGUGUGAAUUGCAGAAUCCCGCGAACCAUCGAGUCUUUGAACGCAAGUUCGCCCCCAANCCGNNNGGCCGAGGGNNAGUUUGCCUNGGU
rnacentral:rRNA from 1 species